UGGUGCCCCCGGCAGGAUUCGAACCUGCGACACCCGCUUUAGGAGAGCGGUGCUCUAUCCCCUGAGCUACGGAGGC
rnacentral:tRNA from 1 species